rnacentral:lncRNA from 1 species
UGAACCUCUUCCGCCUUCAUACAUAUGGACAGAUAAAUCUUCUGCAGAAUUCCAAAAUGUGUUGUCUUCAUUAGAAAUUCAGAAUGAUCUGUCAAAUUUCAUGAUGUUCAUGUUGAUCAAACAGAAUCAGGAAUCAAUUCUUUAAUUAAUAACUUUAAUCAGGUAAUUUAUGAUGUGGCAAACAAAAGUCUAAGAAAGAAACGUCAUAGUUUAAAAAAA